rnacentral:rRNA from 1 species
AGCGAACGCUGGCGGCAGGCCUAACACAUGCAAGUCGAACGAACCCUUCGGGGUUAGUGGCGGACGGGUGAGUAACACGUGGGAACGUGCCUUUAGGUUCGGAAUAACUCAGGGAAACUUGUACUAAUACCGAAUGUGCCCUUCGGGGGAAAGAUUUAUCGCCUUUAGAGCGGCCCGCGUCUGAUUAGCUAGUCGGUGAGGUAAUGGCUCACCAAGGCUACGAUCAGUAGCUGGUCUGAGAGGAUGACCAGCCACAUUGGGACUGAGACACGGCCCAAACUCCUACGGGAGGCAGCAGUGGGGAAUCUUGCGCAAUGGGCGAAAGCCUGAUGCAGCGACGCCGCGUGAGGGAUGAAGGUCUUCGGAUUGUAAACCUCUUUCAGUAGGGACGAAGCGAAAGUGACGGUACCUAAAGAAGAAGCACCGGCUAACUACGUGCCAGCCGCCGCAGUAACAC